rnacentral:rRNA from 1 species
ACGUAGGGUGCGAGCGUUAAUCGGAAUUACUGGGCGUAAAGCGUGCGCAGGCGGCUUUGCAAGACAGAGGUGAAAUCCCCGGGCUCAACCUGGGAACUGCCUUUGUGACUGCAAGGCUAGAGUACGGCAGAGGGGGAUGGAAUUCCGCGUGUAGCAGUGAAAUGCGUAGAUAUGCGGAGGAACACCGAUGGCGAAGGCAAUCCCCUGGGCCUGUACUGACGCUCAUGCACGAAAGCGUGGGGAGCAAACAGGAUUAGAUACCCUGGUAGUCAAGGGCG